GCUUUCAAUCGUUAUGACUCUUGCCCUUUUCUUCCAAAUUCAUAACACCUGCUUCUCCUGAUUUUCCCGGUAAAGUUACUGAAAAAAGAGCAGUCACGUUUCUUCAAGUUUUUGUUUGACUCUUGUGAAUUUAAUCUUUUGGAGAUUUAGAUGGAUUUAGGUCUCCAUGCAUCACUUGCCUCGAUUUUUAACUCAUAGCCAGAGGGGCGGCCCUAUGGACCCUAAGAACCGUAGGAGGCCGAGGCUGGAUCGCCGAAAUGCGGCGAAGCACAUUGAUUAUGAUGCGACGUCGUAUUGCUCCUCUUCAGACGACUUGUCAUCGUCGUCUCUGGUUACUAGGUCUCCUGACUUGCCAGAUCGGACUAGUUUUCGGAUUGAAGGAACCGAUGGUGAGUUUGACCGCAUUUGUCGGACCCUGGGCUUGUCGGGUCCCGAGGAUUUUGCUAUUCCGGCGGCGGCGUGGGAGGCGAUGAAGGUCCGGUCGGCUUCAGAUCUUCUGCCGCGGUCCAGAUUGCACGAGGCAAAUAGUCCGGGGAUAGGGGACAAGAAACAUCAUCAUCAGCUGCAGGAUCAGGAGGAGAGUGAAUUGUGUACUAGGGUUGUAGAUAGUGUUAGCAUUACAGACGCUGCUGAGUUGUCUCGGGACGAGCCAGUUGAGUCAGCUAAGUUAAAUGCUUGUCGCGGUGUUGUUUGCGGUGCAGCAGGGGGAAUCAAAGGGGUUAGGCCGCCGCUGUUGAAGCCGCCGCCUUCAAUGACGUUACCGGUGAUCGAUAACGCUUGUUCAACUUGGGAUUUAUUGAG
rnacentral:misc_RNA from 1 species